GGCGCAUGCGCAGUGCGGCGGGGCGGCCGUGAGGCGGCGGUAAGAUGGCGGCGGCGGAGAGCGGGGGCAGCCCCUCGCUGCCGGCGGCGGGGGAGGAGGAGCCGCCGCUGGGGCUCGAUUCGCUCGUCGAGGAGGCGGCGGCCGCGGCGGCCAGCGCCGGGUUCCGGCUGACGGCGGUCAGGAGAGAACCGGCGGUGCGGCUGCAGCACGGGGUCAGCGGGUUGGAACCGCUGGCCUGGUCGGAAGACCACCGGGUGUCGGUGAGCACGGCCCGCAGCAUCGCCGUCCUGGAGCAGCUGAGCGACGUGCACAGCGGCGGGCAGGAGAUGGUCAUCCACCGCACGGCCGUGCCCGCGCCCGGCGCCGCCUGUCUCCUCAAGGUUGGUCCAAAAAAGGAGGUAGCAGAAUGUAAAGAAAAGUUUGCAAAUUCCAUGGAUCCGACAGUUAGUCAAACUUUUAUGCUGGAUCGCGUGUUCAAUCCCGAGGGAAAGUCGCUGCCGCCCAUGCGAGGAUUCAAGUACUCCAGCUGGUCGCCGCUGGGCUGUGAUGCCAACGGCAGGUGCCUGCUUGCAGCUUUAACCAUGGACAAUCGAUUGACCAUCCACGCAAACCUCAACAGGCUGCAGUGGGUGCAGCUGGUGGACCUGACGGAAAUUUACGGGGAGCGUUUGUAUGAAGCCAGUUACAGACUGACGAAGGCCGACACUCCCAGGGGAGAACUGGAAGACUUCUCUGAAUUUCAGCGACGGCACAGCAUGCAGACCCCAGUACGCAUGGAGUGGUCGGGUAUCUGCACCACUCAGCAGGUUAAACAUAACAACGAAUGCCGGGAUGUUGGCAGCGUGCUCUUAGCAGUGCUCUUUGAAAACAGUAACAUUGCGGUUUGGCAAUUUCAGCUUCCGUUUCUGGGUAAGGAAUCAAUUACUUCUUGCAAUACCAUAGAGUCUGGAAUAAGUUCUCCGAGUGUCCUGUCUUGGUGGGAAUAUGAACAUAACAACCGAAAGAUGAGCGGACUUAUUGUAGGGAGUGCUUUCGGACCAGUUAAAAUCCUUCCCGUCAAUCUAAAAGCGGUCAAAGGCUACUUUACACUCAGACAGCCCGUAGUCUUAUGGCAAGAAAUGGACCAGUUGCCAGUGCAUAGUAUCAAAUGUAUUCCGCUUUACCAUCCCUACCAGAAAUGUAGCUGUAGCUUAGUGGUGGCUGCAAGAGGAUCUUAUGUGUUUUGGUGUCUUCUCUUGAUAUCCAAGGCGGGUCUGAAUGUCCAUAAUUCCCACGUGACGGGGCUACAUUCUUUGCCAAUUGUAUCUAUGACAGCAGACAAACAGAAUGGCACCGUGUAUACCUGCUCCAACGAUGGAAAGGUAAGGCAGCUGAUUCCUAUAUUUACAGAUGUUGCUUUAAAGUUUGAGCACCAGCUGAUUAAGCUCUCCGAAGUGUUUGGCUCUGUAAGGACUCAUGGAAUAGCUGUUAGCCCCUGCGGUGCGUACUUAGCGGUUAUUACGACCGAGGGCAUGACUAACGGCCUUCACCCCGUUAACAAAAACUACCAAGUUCAGUUCGUUACUCUUAAGACUUUUGAGGAGGCAGCUGCACAGCUCUUGGAAUCUUCUGUUCAGAACCUUUUCCGGCAAGUGGACUUGACAGAUCUUGUACGCUGGAAAAUCUUGAAGGAUAAGCAUAUUCCUCAAUUUUUACAGGAAGCACUGGAUAAAAAGAUUGAGAGCUGUGGUUCUACUUAUUUCUGGCGGUUUAAACUGUUUCUCCUGAGGAUUUUGUACCAGUCAAUGCAGAAAGCUCCCUCAGAGGUGAUGUGGAAACCUUCACACGAGGAUGCAAAAAUACUGAUAUCUGAUUCCCCUGGAAUGGGCAGCACUGAAGACGAUCAAGAGGAAGGAACUUCUAAACAAGCCAGCAAGCAGAGCCUAUGUGACACAGGCAAAGGUAUGGACAUAGAUGACACUGCAGAUGAUUCUCUUCCUCAGUCAAGUGACAUAGGAGGCCGUGAGCCAAUGGAAGAAAAGCUUCUUGAAAUACAGGCACAAAUUGAGGCAGUAGAAAUGCACUUGACACGAGAACACAUGAAACGGGUGUUGGGAGAAGUUUAUCUACACACAUGGAUUACAGAAAACACCAGUAUUCCCACCAGAGGAGUCUGUGAUUUCUUAAUGUCCGAUGACGGAUAUGAUGACAGAACAGCACGAGUGCUGAUUGGGCAUAUCUUAAAGAAAAUGAACAAACAGACUUUUCCAGAGCACUGCAGCUUGUGUAAAGAGAUCUUGCCAUUCACUGAUCGCAAACAGGCAGUCUGCUCCAACGGACAUAUCUGGCUCAGGUGCUUUCUAACCUACCAGUCUUGUCAGAGUUUGGUAUACAGGAGGUGUUUGCUUCACGACAGCAUUGCACGGCAUCCAACCCCAGAAGAUCCUGAGUGGAUCAAGAGGUUAUUGCAAGGACCUUGCACAUUCUGCGAUUCUCCUGUGUUCUAGAGAAGAGCUGUGUAAAGACUGAAACUAUUUUCUCUACUGCAUAAGCUCCCUUCAGUCUAGAAUGAUACCAAGUGCAGGAAUAUACACUUCAUUGAAAGGGGAGGACACUGUCUACAACCCUGUAAAUAGAACACUGGAGGUUCUAGAAACUCCCUAGGUCCAGAGGCCAUUCUGUGCUCCAGAAGCAGAAGUACAUCUGGAAGAGUGAGUUCAUAAAGCAAUUUCGAAAUGCGCCCCAUUGACGUGUCAGCAGCUGGACAUGCUUCCUUUUACUGAAGGGAAACUGAAGUCUUAAGCACACAGAGUGAACUGUCCUCUCUGCCUGGCGACCGUGUGGUUUCCCAAAAGCUGGGAGGGAACAGCAGAGCUGCCUCCUGAAUGGCCUUGGCAGUAGAUACUCAGUAUACCAUUGCCAGUUUAUUUAACCUGAUUUAUGGCUGCUGGGAGAAUGGAAUUUUAAAGCCAAUGAUGUCGGCUUUGUCUGCAUGCCAGUGGAGAUGCUUUAGCACAAAGCUUUCACUUCUCACCCUGACCCAUUCACAACAGGUAAAGAGGUAUUGUGAUUUAUUUAUUAUUUAAACAAUCAUUGGUCCCUAAGUGUGUUUUUAACUAGCAUAGAUUGAAUAGCAUAGCUUCAGAGCAGUGGCAUUUAACCUCAAAUGUUGAUCCUACUGGGUUUUUCUGCCCAGCUACCAGCUGAAACUUACUUCAGGAAACCUAUCUGUCCUGGAUGCGUGGCUUGCAGGCCUAGGAAGGGGGGGGGGGUGUAGUCCCUGUACAAGUACUAUAACAGCCUGCAGAGCUGCAGCAGCACCCUAGUGCAUCAUCCCUUGUGUUUUCCCUUCUCAAAACCCUUUGCUUUCACCCCAUGUAUGGAGAAGGGAAGCGGCUGAAGGAGGAACAAACACCUGCUGCUGAGUCCUCGCACUGUUUUGCUGUGAACAGAGCUGCCUUCCCAAACUAGGACCUAGUGGAGCAGUUCUGCAUUAAGGCCCAGUCUGGUCUGGGACAUCAAGUGAAGCAUUCAAAAGAUAAAUCCCAUGAAACCAGUGUAUCUCACUAGGUCCAGGCCCUAAGUUUUGCAAGAUAAGCGAGUGAAUGGUUAAAAGCCCUCAACUGCUUCAGCAUUUGGUGGUAAACACAUGGCUGUCCAAGGUGCCUCACUUCAGAGAAAGAACAAACUCUAGCAGAGACUGAGCAGCUCUUGAUAUACUACUUCAAUUUUUUAUUAUUUUUUUUUUAAAGUAAGGACUGUAGUAUUUCCUGUUGCUUUUGAGAAUUAUAUAAGAUGUGCUUCUCUGCCAAUUGCAAGAGUUUGUCGCUCCUCCCCUGGUGUGAAGAAAUCCAGGCUGUUGAGGAGAUUGGCAGAACAGCUCUGAAUUGCUUUUGGACAGCUUCUUUUGACUUGGUGCUAGAUGCCAUUGUUUGAACUAAGGUGAAAGUUUGGGUGUCAUGAUGUCUUGGUUCUCCAGACUGCAUCUCCUGCUCUGGAACCAGUGACAACGCAGCUCGUCACUGCCUUUUUACAUUAACUUAGCUAUGGGAUGGGGAGUUAUUAUUCAGUCAUCUUUCUCUUAUGUUCCCUGAUCCUACUAAUCCUAUUGUAUAUUUCUAGAGAGGAAAUACUAUGGUUGCUAAUACAUGUAGACAAUAAAUAUUUCCCUGAUUUUCAUAAGCUUACCAAGUUUUCCACUCGCUAACGUAUCGUCAGUGACUAUGGGCAGCAUAACACUAUUUACUCUAUCUUCAUUAAAGGCUUCUUGAUGUGAACACUGAAUGCAAACAUUCAUGAGUCCUAGUUAAAGGUUAAGAUAUCACACUUGUGCUGUUAUGUCCUAAACUAACACUUGGAGGAGGCUUGGUUUCACGAGUUUAACUUCUCAAAUACAAAGCUCUUCAUUAUUGCUUACCCAGUUUGUGAAGCAGUGGGCAGCCUUGAAGGCACAAUUGCUGGGGACUCAGUUACCACCUCUGGAUAGGAAAUCAGAGAGAACCAGGAGAAGAAUGUCACGUCAUUGUUUCUGGCAGUCACGUG